UGUCACUCCCGAGAUGAGUAACUGUUGUGCGAGGUGCAAGAAGUACAUCUGCAGAAAGCACAAAGUCACAUUCUGUCCAUCAUGUGGGGAAAAUGUUGAACACUGAAAAUCCGAGAAAAUGGGGCAAGUUAAAUGAAAAAAAAAAGUCUUCGUGAACAGG